GAUUAUGGCUCAGGAUGAACGCUGGCGGCGUGCCUAAUACAUGCAAGUGAAACGGGUAUCUUCGGAUACCAGUCGCGGACGGGUGAGUAAUACAUAGGCAACCUGCCUUUAUGAGGGGGGAUAACCGAGGGAAACUUUGGCUAAUACCGCAUGAAGACUCUAAGGCAUCUUAGAGGGAUAAAAGUUGGGAAACAACGCAUGAAGAUGGGCUUAUGGCGCAUUAGCUAGUUGGUGAGAUAGAAGCCCACCAAGGUAAUGAUGCGUAGCCGACCUGAGAGGGUGAACGGCCACAUUGGGACUGAGACACGGCCCAAACUCCUACGGGAGGCAGCAGUAGGGAAUUUUCGGCAAUGGGGGGAACCCUGACCGAGCAACGCCGCGUGAAGGAAGAAGGUUUUCGGAUUGUAAACUUCUGUUAUAAGGGAAGAACGGAUUGGAUAGGGAAUGAUCUGAUAGUGACGGUACCUUAUUAGAAAGCCACGGCUAACUACGUGCCAGCCGCCGC
rnacentral:rRNA from 1 species